GAGGUGGCUUCCGGCCGCCAGGCGAGACUCCGCGGGAAAACUCCCUGCUAGAGAGACUAGGAGAUUUGGGGCUGCGGCCGUUUCCUCCGGAGCACCCACGGGACUGUGUGCUGGGGUCCCUCCACCGGCUGUGUCCUUUAUUCUUCUUUCUCACCCAACGAUUUACCUGAACGGUUAUAAAGUGCACGUUAUUUCCCUAAGCACUUUGAGUAUAUUGGCCCACUGCAUUCUGGACUUCAAAAUUUCUGAUGCGAAAUAUGCUGAUACUUUUGUUGAAGAAAUCUGGGCUUUGAGCAUCUGUAAGAUAUUUGUUGGAAGGUUUUGUCUGUACACAAAGGUUCUUGCUACAGAAAGGUGGCUGCCAGCUCUCCAUCUUCAGGACAGAAGAAGAGAAAUUUACUUCAGUGGAGCAUACAAACACAGCAUGGAAGACAAAAGAGGAUGAUAGACUGUCUAACUCUGAGAGGCUAAAAACAAAGAAUAUUCUUAAUGUAUUUAGAAUGGCUAUGUGCAUGUGUUUCCAACCAAAGGGAAGAGA
rnacentral:lncRNA from 10 species